CAUGCAAGUCGAGGGGCAGCAUGGUCUUAGCUUGCUAAGGCUGAUGGCGACCGGCGCACGGGUGAGUAACACGUAUCCAACCUGCCGUCUACUCUUGGCCAGCCUUCUGAAAGGAAGAUUAAUCCAGGAUGGGAUCAUGAGUUCACAUGUCCGCAUGAUUAAAGGUAUUUUCCGGUAGACGAUGGGGAUGCGUUCCAUUAGAUAGUAGGCGGGGUAACGGCCCACCUAGUCAACGAUGGAUAGGGGUUCUGAGAGGAAGGUCCCCCACAUUGGAACUGAGACACGGUCCAAACUCCUACGGGAGGCAGCAGUGAGGAAUAUUGGUCAAUGGGCGAUGGCCUGAACCAGCCAAGUAGCGUGAAGGAUGACUGCCCCAUGGGUUGUAAACUUCUUUUAUAAAGGAAUAAAGUCGGGUAUGCAUACCCGUUUGCAUGUACUUUAUGAAUAAGGAUCGGCUAACUCCGUGCCAGCAGCCGCGGUAAUACGGAGGAUCCGAGCGUUAUCCGGAUUUAUUGGGUUUAAAGGGAGCGUAGAUGGAUGUUUAAGUCAGUUGUGAAAGUUUGCGGCUCAACCGUAAAAUUGCAGUUGAUACUGGAUGUCUUGAGUGCAGUUGAGGCAGGCGGAAUUCGUGGUGUAGCGGUGAAAUGCUUAGAUAUCACGAAGAACUCCGAUUGCGAGGGCAGCCUGCUAAGCUGCAACUGACAUUGAGGCUCGAAAGUGUGGGUAUCAAACAGGAUUAGAUACCCUGGUAGUCCACACGGUAAACGAUGAAUACUCGCUGUUUGCGAUAUACGGCAA
rnacentral:rRNA from 1 species